rnacentral:rRNA from 1 species
CCCUUAGAUGUCCUGGGCCGCGCGCGCGUUACACUGAUGCAUUCAACGAGCUUAUAACCUUGGCCGAGAGGCCUGGGCAUUCUUGUUAACGUGCAUCGUGAUAGGGAUAGAUUAUUGAAAUUAUUAAUCUUGAACGAGGAAUUCCUAGUAAACGCAGAUCAUCAAUCUGCAUUGAUUACGUCCCUGCCCUUUGUACACACCGCCCGUCGCACCCACCGAUUGGAUGGUCCGGUGAAGCCUCGGGAUUGUGGUUCUUGCCGCUUUAUUGUGGCGUGACCGCGAGAACUUGUCUAAACCUUAUCAUCUAGAGGAAGGUGAAGUCGUAACA